GCUGGCUACACAUGCAGUCGAGCGGAUGAAGGGAGCUUGCUCCUGGAUUCAGCGGCGGACGGGUGAGUAAUGCCUAAGAAUCUGCCUGGUAGUGGGGGAUAACGUCCGGAAACGGGCGCUAAUACCGCAUACGUCCUGAGGGAGAAAGUGGGGGAUCUUCGGACCUCACGCUAUCAGAUGAGCCUAGGUCGGAUUAGCUAGUUGGUGGGGUAAAGGCCUACCAAGGCGACAUCCGUAACUGGUCUGAGAGGAUGAUCCUCACACUGGAACUGAGAACCCGGUCCAAACUCCUACGGAAGGAAGCAGUGGGGAAUAUUGACAAUGGGCGAAAGCCUGAUCC
rnacentral:rRNA from 1 species